rnacentral:rRNA from 1 species
AUUGAACGCUGGCGGCAUGCCUUACACAUGCAAGUCGAACGGCAGCACGGGAGCAAUCCUGGUGGCGAGUGGCGAACGGGUGAGUAAUAUAUCGGAACGUGCCCAGUCGUGGGGAUAACGUAGCGAAAGCUACGCUAAUACCGCAUACGAUCUAUGGAUGAAAGCGGGGGAUCGCAAGACCUCACGCGAUUGGAGCGGCCGAUAUCAGAUUAGGUAGUUGGUGAGGUAAAGGCUCACCAAGCCGACGAUCUGUAGCUGGUCUGAGAGGACGACCAGCCACACUGGGACUGAGACACGGCCCAGACUCCUACGGGAGGCAGCAGUGGGGAAUUUUUGGACAAUGGGCGCAAGCCUGAUCCAGCAAUGCCGCGUGCAGGAUGAAGGCC